rnacentral:rRNA from 1 species
UUCACAUUGGGGAAUUUUCCGCAAUGGGCGCAAGCCUGACGGAGCAAGACCGCGUGCGGGAGGACGGCCUAUUGGUUGUAAACCGCUUUUGAUAGGGAAGAAGUUCUGACGGUACCUAUCGAAUCAGCAUCGGCUAACUCCGUGCCAGCAGCCGCGGUAAUACGGAGGAUGCAAGCGUUAUCCGGAAUUAUUGGGCGUAAAGCGUCCGUAGGUGGUUGUUCAAGUCUGCUGUUAAAGCGUGCGGCUUAACCGCAUACCAGCAGUGGAAACUGGGCGACUAGAGUGCGGUAGGGGUCAGGGGAAUUCCCAGUGUAGCGGUGAAAUGCGUAGAUAUUGGGAAGAACACCGGUGGCGAAAGCGCCUGACUGGACCUGCACUGAC